rnacentral:lncRNA from 1 species
CUGGCUUAAAAAAGUCAUUCAAGAGUCGUGCUCUGCUGUCCUACGAUGGGCUCAACCAGCGCGUGAGGGUGCUGGACGAGAGGAAGGCGCUGAUCCCUUGCAAGAGAUUAUUUGAAUAUAUUUUGCUCUAUAAGGAUGGAGUCAUGUUUCAGAUUGAACAAGCCACUAAGCAGUGCUCAAAAAUCACCCUGACAGAAC